UUUUUUUGACCAAAGGACCACCAAAACCUCCACGUAUAAAGAUAAUCACCACCAAAACCUCCUAGUCUUAAAUGACAAAGUCUCCACAUCCAUCAAGCCAAAGUUGCCUGAAAGCAACACAGGGCUAAGAAGGAUGAGUUGAACUGAGAACAAAGCCUGGCUAAAAGCUUUGUUUUGCUCCAGCCAAGUGGUCACCAAUGAAGACCACCGCUGUGAGAGACAAGCUAUUAGCAAGACGUCAACAACAUAAGUGCCUGGAGUGAGUAUUCCCACAACACUGGCUCCUUGGGUUGGCUGCACCUGCAUCCAGGGACAAUGAAUUAGAAGAAGCAUCUGCAAAGAGAAAGAUGAGAAAGAGAAGAGAGAGGCGAUUUCCAUUUGAAAAUUCCACUGUAUACCAAAGGCCCUCUCCUCUAAUGUAAACAUGAUGUCAUAUGGCCCAGAGAUUUUACAUUCUCCAGAGAACAAACAGCACUGCAGUGGGGAGAUGGCACAGCUCCGCUAACAACUACCACCUCUGAAAUCCCCC